AUAACCGAAAGCUUUAGCGGGGAGGGAGAGAGAGGGAGAGAGAGAACUGAGAGAGGUGGAGGGAGAUAACCGAGCGAAUUCGUUUGUUCCUGAAUCAAAUUUUUGGCUUGAAGCUGCUCCCUACCCAUCGAAGUUCUUCUUGGGGAAGAAAGCAAUUGCAGAGAUCUCUCUUAUGGUCUCCAUUCUGCCGUGGAUAGAGAAGGAGAGAAAACAAGGUAGAUGAGGAGCUAAAUAGCCCAAUCGAUAUCGGACAAGUUGAUCGACGCUAAGAGUAUUUUCUACAAAGUUUGGUUUGUUAGGCUGUGAUGUGAUCAGGCAUAAUAGAGUUUUUGUGUCGUCCAGUUGUGAAAGUAUUGCGAGCAGAGCGAAGUCCUAGACAAGGGUGUUGCGAGUUUUUGUUUUUAUUCGUGCUUUUCUCGGUGGUUUUGUUUUCGACUGGGUUUGUGUGAUUUGGCUUCUCUCUUUGUCAGUUCAGUUCUUUCUCUCAAAACAGAGACUGAGAAGGAGAGAGAGGGAGGGUCGGGUAGAUCGUUAUUCUAUUAGGAGCUUAGUUUAUGAGACGCGAGAAGAACAAAAAAAGUUUUCAGUCGAUUUUGGCAUGAAGUUUUCGGCAAAAGAAGGGUUAGUAGCAGAAUCAGUGGCACAAUGAAAUUGUAGACUAAUGACCUAUUGUGAAGGUCAUUAGAUGCAAUUGUGGGAAGAAAGUUGAAGGGUAACCAGAAGAAGCUAGGAAGAUGAACUAAAACUUGGUUUAGAAAGGUAACCAACUGAUAUAUGCUGCAUUUGUUGCCAAUAUAUAUUUAUCACCAAUCUUUCUGUAUUAUG